rnacentral:lncRNA from 1 species
AAAAAACUUCAAACACUCCCUUUAAUUCUCUCUGUCCCCAUCUGAAUCCGACCAUUGCUCAGGUGACGGACCACUGUACCGGCCACACUGCCAGCCACCGUGCACGGUGGCCGGAGCUCAAAAAAUCUUAAAUUUUCCUGCGGUUUUAAGGGUAAUCUUUCCUCCUUUUUACUUUUAAAUAUCGUUUCGCAUAAAAAAAACUUUCAAAGAGAAAAGAAGACAAAUACGAACUAUUUCUUGUUUUUGUUUAAAAUUUUUUUUGAUUGUGUUUUGUAUUUUGUUCAUAUAAAAAUAAGAUAAGUAAUAAUAAGAAACAAAAGUAGAGAUUAGAUGAGGAAAAAUGAAAUCGUAAAUCACCUCCGGUUUUUAUUUUCCGUUUUGUAUCUAUGCGUGUAUUCUAUUGAUGAAAAUUCCCCCUCCUCCCCCUUUACAAUGUUUUUGAUUCUUGAUUUUAUAGCCUGAAUACAUAUAUAGAAAGUACAAUCUUUGAUUUCUUUCUUAUUCUGCUUGGUCUUUCUUUCCUUUUUUGCAGGUCUGAGGCGAGAUCUCCGGUGGACUGGUGCGCCGAUUGCGAUGAUUGUAGCGUGAUUGAAGGUCGUGCUGGGCGGGGCUCUUGUCUGCUGUUUGUGGUGCUAAGGAUCACUAGGGUUUCUGCCCUGGUGUUUUGAAUUUGGGCCCUGUUGGGUUGCUGCUUAUUGGGUUUGGGUAGGCUUAGGAUUGGGUUAGUCUAGUUAGGUAUUGUUUUAACAUUUGUCAAAGGAC